CCUGGGGCCCGGGAGGUCGGCGGGGGUCGGCGCUCCUGAGCCUGAGCGGGCGGAGCGGUUGGAACACGAGGUGGUAGUGAAACCCCAUGAGGACAGGACAGGAACUAGAAGAGUCAACUGUAAAUGGAACCAUUCCCAGAGCUCACACCACUGUCCCCAUGACCUCCAGGAGCCAGUCUUCAGAGUUCCUGAGUUAUGUGUCCACUUUGGGUAUGGCUGCUCCUCCAGUCCCUAGGCCAGCAUUUCCCAAAGCACCAUCCAUUUUAGAAAUUUGCUUUAAAAUCAUUUUGGGGGGACACCUGGGUGGCUCAGUCAUUUGGGUGUCUGCCUUCAGCUCAGGUCAUGAUCUCAGGGUCCUGGGAUUGAGUCCUCAGGUUCCAGGCUCAGUGGGGGGGGGGGGGUCUGCUUUUCCCUCUCCCUCUGCUGCUCCCCCUGCUUGUGCUCUCACAUGUGCUGUCUCUGUCUCUCUCUCGUAAGUGGAUAAAAAUAUUUACAUAAAUAAAAUCAUGUUUUGUGCCAGUUUUA